rnacentral:rRNA from 1 species
AGCGAACGCUGGCGGCAGGCUUAACACAUGCAAGUCGAGCGGGCCUUUCGGGGUCAGCGGCGGACGGGUGAGUAACGCGUGGGAACGUGCCCUCUGGUUCGGAAUAACUCAGGGAAACUUGAGCUAAUACCGGAUACGCCCUUUUGGGGAAAGGCUUGCUGCCGGAGGAUCGGCCCGCGUCUGAUUAGCUAGUUGGUGAGGUAACGGCUCACCAAGGCGACGAUCAGUAGCUGGUCUGAGAGGAUGAUCAGCCACACUGGGACUGAGACACGGCCCAGACGUGGGGGGGGGGAGGGUGGGGAGAAGAUGAGAGGAGGGGCGACAGGCGGACGCCGCGGGGGGGGGUGGGGGAUGAGGGCCGUGGGGUGAAAAGGCGUUUUGAUCGGGGAAGAGAGGGACGGGGGGGGAGGAAUAACCCCCGGCUAUGUGCGCGCCAGCAGCCGCGGUAAUAGGCGGAAGCGCACCCGUCGGAAC